rnacentral:rRNA from 1 species
CGGACGGGUGAGUAAUGUCUGGGAAACUGCCUGAUGGAGGGGGGUAACUACUGGAAACGGUAGCUAAUACCGCAUAACGUCGCAAGACCAAAGAGGGGGACCUUAGGGCCUCUUGCCAUCGGAUGUGCCCAGAUGGGAUUAGCUAGUAGGUGGGGUAACGGCUCACCUAGGCGACGAUCCCUGGCUGGUCUGAGAGGAUGACCAGCCACACUGGAACUGAGACACGGUCCAG